rnacentral:rRNA from 1 species
GGGCGUUAAGUUGCAGGGUAUAGACCCGAAACCCGGUGAUCUAGCCAUGGGCAGGUUGAAGGUUGGGUAACACUAACUGGAGGACCGAACCGACUAAUGUUGAAAAAUUAGCGGAUGACCUGUGGCUGGGGGUGAAAGGCCAAUCAAACCGGGAGAUAGCUGGUUCUCCCCGAAAGCUAUUUAGGUAGCGCCUCGUGAAUUCAUCUCCGGGGGUAGAGCACUGUUUCGGCUAGGGGGCCAUCCCGGCUUACCAACCCGAUGCAAACUGCGAAUACCGGAGAAUGUUAUCACGGGAGACACACGGCGGGUGCUAACGUCCGUCGUGAAGAGGGAAACAACCCAGACCGCCAGCUAAGGUCCCAAAGUCAUGGUUAAGUGGGAAACGAUGUGGGAAGGCCCAGACAGCCAGGAUGUUGGCUUAGAAGCAGCCAUCAUUUAAAGAAAGCGUAAUAGCUCACUGGUCGAGUCGGCCUGCGCGGAAGAUGUAACGGGGCUAAACCAUGCACCGAAGCUGCGGCAGCGAACGUAUCACCCAAGACAACUUUACGGAGUUGACGAUUGACGGAGCGAAGCGACGUCAAAGCGUUCAUUAAAGUCGAGUUGGCUUAGGGAUACGUUCGUUGGGUAGGGGAGCGUUCUGUAAGCCUGUGAAGGUGUGUCGUGAGGCAUGCUGGAGGUAUCAGAAGUGCGAAUGCUGACAUAAGUAACGAUAAAGCGGGUGAAAAGCCCGCUCGCCGGAAGACCAAGGGUUCCUGUCCAACGUUAAUCGGGGCAGGGUGAGUCGACCCCUAAGGCGAGGCCGAAAGGCGUAGUCGAUGGGAAACGGGUUAAUAUUCCCGUACUUGGUGUUACUGCGAAGGGGGGACGGAGAAGGCUAUGUUGGCCGGGCGACGGUUGUCCCGGUUUAAGCGUGUAGGUGUGUGUUCCAGGUAAAUCCGGUUCACUUUAACACUGAGGCGUGAUGACGAGGCACUACGGUGCUGAAGCAACAAAUGCCCUGCUUCCAGGAAAAGCCUCUAAGC